AACGUAGGUUCCGAGCGUUAUCCGGAUUUACUGGGCGUAAAGCGCGUUCAGGCGGUUUGGCAAGUCGGGCAUGAAAUCUCUCGGCUCAACCGGGAGAGGUUGUCCGAUACUGCUGGACUUGAGGGCAGUAGAGGGUGGUGGAAUUCCGGGUGUAGUGGUGAAAUGCGUAGAUAUCCGGAGGAACACCGAUGGCGAAGGCAGGUCUCUGGGCCGAUACUGACGCUGAGGAGCGAAAGCGUGGGGAGCGAACAGG
rnacentral:rRNA from 1 species